UUUCAUUCUGAAUUCAUUUUUCUUUUGUUUCAUACCAUUUAGCUAGCAUGCCGUUUAGUCUCAAUAAAUCAACGUUGCCAAUCAAAGCGUUAUUCAAUUAUUUCGUUUGAUUACAUGUCAGCACAUGUCAUUGAGUCAUUGUCUGUGCAGGUCUGUGUGUGAAGCCUGUUUAAAGUAGGCUAUAACAACUUUCAAACCAUCAGCCAUUCAGAUUUUCUUCAAUGGAAGACAGUAUAGAACAAAUUUUAAAGAGGAUCAAAGAAAAAGAGGAAAUUUUACGAAAGCAGAAAAUGGUCAAAUUGCACAGAGCAAAGCACAAUACCACUGAACUUGAAAACUUGAUUAAAGAAUGGCUGGGAGUGUGCCAACAAACUCUUCAAGAUCUGGAACAGAAAUUGAAAGAUCAGUCGUCUGAUUCUGCAGAUUUCGGCAUUGCAAAAAUUCUUGCACAUUUGAACAUAGAGCCUGAGCUGGUUGGUUACAGUAUUGAAGACGAAAUGUUUACCAACUGAAGAUGUAUUCACUGUGUAUAUCCGUUUCAAGAGUUGUGUUCUGAUGACAUCUUCAAAAUGCAAUUAAAAUUUUAAUGAGGAGCUGCUAGGUAUAGGUUUGUUUUUCAUGAAAAAGUAAAGCUUGAAUUUUAUUUUAACAUGGAACCAUACUGUACAGAGUAGAUCAGUUGAGUUGAAACUGUAGUGGUAGUAAGAAAUGUCAACAAGAUGAAUGUUCUUCUCCGGGUAUGAUUAACGAGCAUGGAAUCGUUGCGUACGCACUUUUACAGACGCUUGCUUCACAAUAGAUAGUACUACGUAAAAAAUGUGUACCGCCAAAGGAACAAACGACACGUGCAAAGUACAUCCUUGCGACUAGAUGUUCAUGUUUUCGAGUCUUGAAAGGACAGAGAUAAAUGUUCAUCCGAAUAUCUCUCCAAGCAGAACCUGCAGUCUAGCACGUAACGGGAUUAGUCUCAACAUUGAUCCCCCUGCACCCUGUCACAAGUGAAUCCGAAAAACGUCCACUGCCGAAACAACACACACGUGAACCAUUUGGGUGGAUCAGUUUGCACAUGGAGAAACGAGGCGUGAUGAGUAGGAGGGAAUCGAGCGAAGCUAAAAAUUCAUUUGUUGCUGGUUGACAGUUUUACGACCGGCUUCCACACCUACUUCAUUAGCGCUGCUCGACUCGGUUCCCUCCAACUCGUCUCACCAUCAAAACACAACAAACACGGAUCUCUAUAUAUCUGCCACGAGGAUAUUCUGAUGCCUUGAUCAACAUCUCGCCUAGCUAGUCUCUCUCUUCACCUUUUGGCGUAUUAUGACUAGCGACUGCGUCAGCUUCUACGGAUCCACCCAGUUAAAUGAUGAAUUAGAGAGAAAAACAGCAGUUGCCGGCUACUUGUUGUACGGUCGCAAAGUGGAGCUGAAAGCCGCGCAGGAAAAAAGAAAGAAAGAACCUUAUGAUAUUACAUAUCUCUUUCACGAGCUUUUGACAGCACAGCUCUCGCUCCACACUAUUGAAAACAACAGCAAAAAUCGCUCCUGUAUUUAUGUUGCUUUUCUCCGACGACAUUUCCCCCGUUGGAAGGUUCAAAAAAUGGAAGGAAAAAAUAUUUUGAUUGUUUUUAUUAUUAUUUUCAUUUGCUCGCGCGGCAAUUUAUUGGCAUGGUGGUUGGAACGUCUUCUGGCUGGCUGAGAACGUGCCUUGCGUCGUGUCGGCCCGAGUUUAAAAAUAUCGCUCGUGUUUGACGGGUCAAAGAAAAAGAGAGGAAAUGGAAGGCAACAGCUGCCGAGCUGCGCGACAAGUUGCCGACGAAGUGAAGGGAUCCUCGGCGGGACCCGAAACUCGCGAGGAUUAGACACGAAAAAAACCUAUUUCCAGCUCUAUGUAGGCAACCGUAUAUAAUGUCCGUUGGGGCUUUCCAACUUGAUCCACUUGGACAAGUGGAAUGUCUUAAGUAAUAGUCGUUUCGUUAUAGCGUAAGCCAGCGGGGGCUGCCUACUUCUUCUUUUUUUAAUUUUACUGGUCCUGUGUAUGCGCAACGGAAAAGAAAAACAGGAAAAAAAACGGGGGAUUUUUUGUUGUUGAGCGUGACAAAUUUGUGUAUUGAUAACAACAUAGCAUAGUUCACCGAAAUCAUGGAGAAAAAAGUUCUAUUGUUUUAAGUAGGAUAAAUAUGUACAACAGUUUGAGGGGGUUAGUAAACAACUCGUGCGUUUCGAUCUAGAGAAUGAGUUUCAUUUUCAAAAUAUUUUCCAAUUGAUAAAAAAAUUUUCUUUUUCUUAGGAGAGAGAGAGAAUAUACUAUAUUUCAAUCAUCAGACUGUGCCGGUGUUGGUUGGAGCUGUGGUCGUGGUGCAAGUCGUGGCCAAACUCUCGACGAUGAAGCUGAGCCGGUCGAGACUGGACGAUCCCGGAGCGGAUCCUUGCCCUCCACCAGAUCCUUCAUUACCUGUUGGUGAUGCCAAAGAAAGAAAUUAGUUUGAUCAAUUUUUGUUUUGAAAAUUUUUUAAAAUUGGUGCUUGAAAUUGAAUAAACAUGAAUCAGAUUAUCCGACAAUGCCGCUUUUAAUAUCGACUGCUAUAAUUUUCGUUCGAAAAAUGUCCUCGUGAUAUGUGAAAUUUAAAGUUUAAAAAAUGUAUCUAGGCAAAGCUAAAACCCUAUUUUAAAAUAAUAAUAAUAAUAGUUUGGAUUGCUUGUAUAAUUUGACGUUAUUCUUUCCCUACGAUGUUCAUUUCUACCACCACGAGUUAAGAAGGUGAUCCAGAUUCAUAGGCGAAAAGGAAGAGCUGGUGGUGAGCAAUCGAUACCCUCUCGUGGUGGUAGUAAAAAAGGAAAAAAGGGAAGAAGAAUGACAUUUUUAAGACAAAUUAGUUGAGACGUGGGAGCGCACAUUGGAGAUGGGAAGGCUCUUGGAGUGAUUCCUCCUCCCUUGGUGGGAGGGAUCAUAAACGACUUCAUUAGCCCUCACUGGAACCAGCGAAGCAAUCGAAACGGACUGUCUUAAUAUAAUGGACGUGAGGAGAGACGUGAAGAAGCGCCGUGUUUUGGCUGGGCAACUGCUGACGGCGGCGACGACGGACAAGCGCGAGAGAGGUGCUCCCCGAUAUUGGAAAACGUAGGAGGACAUUUUCUCUCGAUACUCGUCAACACGGCAGUCAAUCUGUUGUCUGCCCAACGUCCAAAUGGCCGCCGCGUCGACAAGUUGGUCAGACAUUCGCUGAACUGAUGAAGUCGAGUCUGGUAGUAGGCCACAACGUUCGUCAUCUGCGCCAAUAGAAUAAAGAAGA